rnacentral:misc_RNA from 1 species
GUAAAGGCUUCCAUAUCACACAAAUGCCACCAAUAAUACUGUUAAUUAUUAAUAUUUUAAUAUUAAGAUCCUCUAGUGGCAGAAGAUGACUUUAAGCUCGCGUGGCGACGAGCACUCAUGCAUAAGGGAAGGAUUGUCAUGUGCGUAAGUGAACGUGGCCGGGCAUGCGUGCUUGAAGAACUCUGAGAAGCUCGACGCCCUACACGUUUGUGGGCUAUUGUAGUGGUUCCUGCAACACAGCUCGUCUGUCCCAAACGCUUCGCACCCACUCUUGCACGCCACCACAGGACCAUGACCCGCCGGGUACCUCAACUGCAGCUUCUCUGGGCACGUCGCUAGUAAGUUCGCUCUGCAUCCAACAACCGGGCACACGCCUUGACCUUCGUGUGGGGUUACUGUCAUGGGGACGUUGAACCCAUCGACGAGAGAUACGCCGUAGGAGGAGAAGUCUUUGUGGCCAUGGUGAAGGCUGAACUGUGCGAGAGUGGCGGGGCUGGCGCCACCGAGGCCAUUGCACUCUAGUUGGUGGUUGCAAUCCCCUGUUGCGCAGUGGAACUUACCGUUGGUGUGGGUGCAGCCUGUGCGGGCCCAGAUCCGGCCGGACCAGGGCUGAUUGGGGGCUGGGAAGGAGCGGUGGGUGAGAGUGGGGAGGGGGAAGCCUCCUUUCUCGAGGACUGGGUGGCCGGAGUUGGGUUGGAUAGCUGGGUAGACAGUGAAGGGACAGUUGUUGACUAGGGUUAAAAAGAGACCUUGAACUCCAGGAGGGGUGGCUUGGCUCAGUAUUAGUAUAGUAGUAAUAGAAAAGAAGAAUAGAGUGGC